rnacentral:rRNA from 1 species
GACAGAGGGUGCAAACGUUGUUCGGAAUUACUGGGCGUAAAGCGAGUGUAGGCGGUUUGAUAAGUCGGAUGUGAAAGCCCGGGGCUCAACCCCGGAACGGCACCCGAGACGGCGGGACUGGAGACCGGGAGAGGAGGGUGGAAUAGCCAGUGUAGAGGUGAAAUUCGUAGAUAUUGGCUGGAACACCGGUGGCGAAAGCGGCUCUCUGGCCCGGUUCUGACGCUGAGGCGCGAAAGCGUGGGGAGCAAACAGG